rnacentral:rRNA from 1 species
GUUGUAUGGUUAAGUGACUAAGCGUACACGGUGGAUGCCUUGGCAGUCAGAGGCGAUGAAGGACGUAUUAACUUGCGAUAAGCCCAGAUUAGGCAGUAAAAGCCACUUGAGUCUGGGAUUUCCGAAUGGGGAAACCCACGUGCAUAAGCACGUAUCCUUACCUGAAUACAUAGGGUAAGGAGGC